rnacentral:rRNA from 1 species
GGGUUGUGAGGUUAAGCGACUAAGCGUACACGGUGGAUGCCCUGGCAGUCAGAGGCGAUGAAGGACGUGCUAAUCUGCGAAAAGCGCCGGCGAGGUGAUAUGAACCUUUGACCCGGCGAUGUCCGAAUGGGGAAACCCAGUGUGUUCCGACACACUAUCGUUAACUGAAUACAUAGGUUAACGAGGCGAACCGGGGGAACUGAAACAUCUAAGUACCCCGAGGAAAAGAAAUCAACCGAGAUUCCCCCAGUAGCGGCGAGCGAACGGGGAGCAGCCCGGAGUCUGAAUCAGCUUGUGUGUUAGUGGAACGGUCUGGAAAGUCCGACGGUACAGGGUGAUAGUCCCGUACACGAAAGCACACUUGCUGUGAACUCGAAGAGUAGGGCGGGACACGUGGUAUCCUGUCUGAAUAUGGGGGGACCAUCCUCCAAGGCUAAAUACUCCUGACUGACCGAUAGUGAACCAGUACCGUGAGGGAAAGGCGAAAAGAACCCCGGCGAGGGGAGUGAAAAAGAACCUGAAACCGUGUACGUACAAGCAGUGGGAGCACCUUCGUGGUGUGACUGCGUACCUUUUGUAUAAUGGGUCAGCGACUUAUAUUCUGUAGCAAGGUUAACCGUAUAGGGGAGCCGAAGGGAAACCGAGUCUUAACUGGGCGUUAAGUUGCAGGGUAUAGACCCGAAACCCGGUGAUCUAGCCAUGGGCAGGUUGAAGGUUGGGUAACACUAACUGGAGGACCGAACCGACUAAUGUUGAAAAAUUAGCGGAUGACCUGUGGCUGGGGGUGAAAGGCCAAUCAAACCGGGAGAUAGCUGGUUCUCCCCGAAAGCUAUUUAGGUAGCGCCUCGUGAACUCAUCUUCGGGGGUAGAGCACUGUUUCGGCUAGGGGGCCAUCACGGCUUACCAACCCGAUGCAAACUACGAAUACCGAAGAAUGUUAUCACGGGAGACACACGGCGGGUGCUAACGUCCGUCGUGAAGAGGGAAACAAACCAGACCGCCAGCUAAGGUCCCAAAGUCAUGGUUAAGUGGG